rnacentral:misc_RNA from 1 species
GAUGAAGAACGUAGCGAAAUGCGAUAAGUAAUGCGAAUUGCAGAAUUUCCGUGAGUCAUCGAAUCUUUGAACGCACAUUGCGCCCCUUGGUAUUCCAUGGGGCAUGCCUGUUCGAGCGUCAUUUGUACCUUCAAGCUUUGCUUGGUGUUGGGUGUUUGUCUCGCCUCCGCGUGUAGACUCGCCUCAAAACAAUUGGCAGCCGGCGUAUUGAUUUCGGAGCGCAGUACAUCUCGCGCUUUGCACUCACAACGACGACGUCCAAAAGUACAUUUUUACACUCUUGACCUCGGAUCAGGUAGGGAUACCCGCUGAACUUAAGCAUAUCAAUAAGCGGAGGA